rnacentral:rRNA from 1 species
UCGAGGAUCAUUCGCAAUGGGCGCAAGCCUGACGGUGCGACGCCGCGUGUAGGAUGAAGGCCUUCGGGUCGUAAACUACUGUCAUGAGGGAGCAACGGUUCUGGUGUUAACACCACCGGGAAGUGAUAGUACCUCAGGAGGAAGCCACGGCUAACUCUGUGCCAGCAGCCGCGGUAAUACAGAGGCGGCAAGCGUUGUUCGGAUUUACUGGGCGUAAAGGGUGCGUAGGCGGUUCCGUGUGUCGGAUGUGAAAUUUCACUGCUUAACGGUGUAACUGCAUCCGAAACUACGGGGCUAGAGUUCAGGAGAGGAGAGCGGAAUUCUCGGUGUAGCGGUGAAAUGCGUAGAUAUCGAGAGGAACACCGGUGGCGAAGGCGGCUCUCUGGACUGAUACUGACGCUGAGGCACGAAAGCUGGGGGAGCAAACAG